rnacentral:lncRNA from 1 species
GGAAAGUAGGAACCAAUGCGUCUACUGACUUCCUCAGAGUCACACACUGAAGCAGAUAAACUGGAGAAGGCAGCUCGGGCCAAUAAGUGACACUCAGGACCACCACUCAUACUUUUAGCAGCCGUUAACAAUCAUUUCCCAGAUCCUUUACAUCUUUGAGUGUUGCAAGACUAAUGAUAUUCUUUUUUCUUUUUCAUGAUUCAUGAGACAUUCUUUAAAGGAACCAUGGGCCAAUGUUAUCUGGAUGGCAAAGUCUACCUUUGGCAUAAUGAUGGCGACCACAGGUAGAGAACUUGUAAGUUUAAGGUUUAUGCUACAGGGUUUCCAAAAGGUAUUAAUUUGUUAAAAGUACAUAAUACAGUAUAUAGCAUGCUCUCAAUUAUGUUCAUUUUAAAAAUUGUGUAUCUACACUUAAAGAAUUUUCUUGGAUGACUGAAGAGAAAUUGUUGAUGUUGGAACAAUAACCAUCUUCAGGGGGAAAAGCCUCUUCAGGAGGAGAAAGUUGAGUAGGAGGGGUGCAAGAAGAAGAUUAUACUUCCAAAUCUAGUGCUGCCCACUGACUGAGACACUCACUAGGUAU